GACUGUGAGGAAUGGAAGAAAAUAGGAAAAGGUUGUCUUUUCGCUUAGGGAAAAUACAAUGGACAACUUCUUCAUUCUUUAAAAAAAACUAUAUUAGUUUGUUCAGCAGAAUUAGGUCUGUAUUUUUGUUUAAAAAUAAGCUGACAUUUCAGGAGAACAUUACAUUUUUUAUAAGAAUGGCCACAAGUAGCUGUACACAAGUACAGCUCUGUUGUAAAACCCAUCUGCAAGCAAUGGAAUGUUAAAAAUUUUAGAGAAUGCUUUAAAAUGACCUUUAAAAUUUGUGCUGUAUACAUGCGGAUCUGUCCAUGAAGAAGUACCUUCUGUUAAAGUCUUGUGAAUAAAAGUGUUGUGAUUUUUAGUGGGUUUUUUAAAAGUACCAAUAAAAGUCAUGUUUACCAUAACCUUUAUGUUUCAGUAAUUGCAGAAGGGCAAACUGUCUAUAAUUUGGUUUUACUCCCAGCUAUUUUUAUAUGAAGAGUUAUGCCCACAGUAUUUGCAAUCCCCAUCUCGAAGCUCUGAACCUAUCUGAAGUGAAAAGUGGUCCAGACUUCGAUUCUUGCGCGUCGGCUGAGCGCCACACAAACGGAGCUUUAACAAACCCCGACUUUACCGCGCUUUUAGAAUCGGUUUUACUUUCAGCAGUCAAAUACACAACAAGUCAGCAAGGCAGUCCUAACCUGUCGUUCUGGAAAUACCGGUGGCACCGAGGAAACGCGUUGCUGCUUUUUGUGUUUGCCGCUUUUGUGUCUGGUCUGAUACAACUUGCUGGAUGUGUCACCAUGAGCAGUAAAGGAAUGCACGGGGCAAGCGCUUUUUUUGUUUGGUUGUUUUUUUUUCCCCCGACCUUUUUUUCUCUAGAUCUGUUCUUUGGGAGCGGGUUAUUGUUUCCCGGGGUUGGAGGUUUUCCAACGUUUGGCUGCCUGUAGCAUUUGCUAAUUGUUAAUCCCUGCUUGUUCCUCCACAAUACUUGUGUAUGAAUUCCAUUUGCUUAGUAAAAAGCUUUCCUGAGCAAACUUGCAAGAUAAAACCAAACCCGAAAUGGAGAGAGUUCGGAGAGCAGUGAGGAGGAAACCUCAGCCUGCUUUGUGCUGCGUGCCAGCCUUGGGGUAAGUCCUACCUUGAUCUUUAAAGACCUGAUUUUCCUGUCGAAGGCCGACUUCGGCAGCGGUGGCAUCCUGCUUUUGCACCUGCACCAGUGACACGUGUGCCUUUGAACGGGCUUCAAAUCUCGCAGCUUUGCCACUCCCAGUACUUCCUUCAGCUUCCAGGUAGCCGGUGUUACUCAGCCCCUCGCCGGCUGGCGCACGUUGUUCUCUUCCCGAAAUGCGAAUCGUGCGAUGCGUUCCCGGGCAGUGACCCUUCUGGCGGGGUGCCUGGCGUUUUGGUGGGCACAGAGCUUGCUCUCAGGAUGGAGGUGGUCAGGUUUUGAGGACUUCGUUGCUUUCGGCUUUGGCAUAAUCCAGACCUGUUAAUUCUCGCCUGGGUUAAUUGGUGUUUGUAAAGCACUUUGUAACCCUCAGUGGACAGGUGCUGGACACGCGUAAACCUUUUCUAGGUGCUGCGGGUGUGCUGACGGCUGCUGCUGGACUGUGGGUGUCUGGUGCCCCACAGCCUGUGUGAUUUUUCAGUUACUGCAUUGGCAUACUCUGGAUCUUAAAUUAUCCAGUAUUACUUCUCUAAACAGCUGUGAAAGCAGACGAAGAUCUUAAGGAGGAAGGGGAGUUAAAUAUUACCGUUGCUCAGUGUUGUUGUUCGCUGCUUUAAUGGGGUGUUUAGGCAGCAAUUCCUCCAAAGAUGUUUUUGCAGAGAAGUAUCAGUCCUCCAGCCCCAUCAUCAUUAGAUGAUUGGAAGCCAGAGGUGCCUAUCUAAGCCAGCACCAAAACUCUGCUGUUUUAUUACUCUGGAGACCCAAGACCUGUGGGAAGAGGUAACCUAUGAUUAGAAUUCUGGGGCCAACACCACAAAGAACAUUUCAUCUUGUAUUUCCUCUUGGCUUGAGAAACAGAGUUUGUCCUGCUGAGCAUUGGGAGGACCCUUUAAAAGGCACUGUCAGGCAGCUGGGCCCGGGUGGGAGCUCUUGGUUUCUGCGGUUGCAGUUGGAAGAAGAUGCUGUAGGUAACCGGGGAGCUUUGCACCGUCAGGUAAGGAGAUGGGAUGCAGCAUCAGACUAGGAUCAGCGAUCUACCAACUAAAUAAACCUGGGGGGGGGGAUGCCUGUCGUAGCAGCAAUGUGUUUAAUGUCUGCAGCAACUCGGUGUUUGAUGCAGUCGGAAAAAAACCUCCUCAUGUUUAGAUGUGUCUUUUGGUCUGUUUUAGAAGUCGGAGCCCGAUUUGUCACCAGGUGGCAGCAUGGGAGAAGGAAAGGUUUCAUUUUCCUCUCCUGGAAAAAACGCCCGAAUGUUUCUUCUUUUCCCAAGUGGAGAGAAAGAUGGUGUUGUACAGGGCUCCCCAGGUGACUGUUCCAUGGAAAAUGACUGAAAAGUGACUGCAACUGCUGAAGAAAUGGAGUAUGAGACGUCAGUGCAGCGAAGAGGUUGACAUCUGGUAACAGAACACGGGAGCGUGAAGUAUCUCAGCAGCCAUGAAGCUGGCGAGGACUUUGUUCCGUUACUCCCGAGUCCUGUGCGGUAGCUGGGCCCCUGCAAAUGUGAGUGUUACCUGUGGAAGAUGCUGAGCCGGGUUCUGCCUUUGUGACGUUAUUCACACUGGCAAUCAAUAGUUUGUGGUAUUUCUUUUCUUCCCCUUUUUAUAUUGUCUCUUGGGUUUUACUUUAAAAAAGUUCCUCCUCAAGUUUGCUUCUUUUUUCUGAUAUUCUGCUGCUAAAAGAUGUAGGGUACCUAAUUUUUCGGUCCCCUAAAGAGGAAUUCCGGUUGUAGUUUAUCCUGAGGUACUGCUGCUGGCGGUUUAACAGAUGAGUUAAACUACUGAAUGGUGUAGUAUUUGAAGUGUCACUUUCUUCUUAAUAACCCUAGAAUAAAAACAUUUUCAGGAUGGCAGGAUAACUCCCUGAACUUGGUGUGAAAUCUGUGGUUGUCAGGCUAAUCUGGAGUGAACUGCCAGGAUCCAUCUGGGCAGGGGUGGCAGAAGGAACUGUCUCCCCUGGGGUCCUGGGACAACUCCUUUUUCUCAGUCUCUGUUAUCCUGGUGUGGAGGAGGCAGAUACUAAAGGCAUCGCAGGCCAGGACACUGUUGGAGAGUCUCUUGCACCGUAAACACCCGACUCUGAAAGGCCUGCGAGGAUGGAGGAAGCGAAAGCCCUCUGCCCAACUUGGCUUACUGGAAGUGCCAUGUGAAAAUACCAGUUACAGCAGGGAAAAGUUACUACCUGACCAUGAAAUUUAGCUUUAUUGCAUGCAUGGCAUCUGGCAUGGAAGAUCUGAGUAAGUGAGGAGGGACAAAAAGUCGUUAAAUACAGUUUAUUUCUCCUGCCACCACACACAUCAUUAAAUAACAAAAGCUGGUUUGUCAGAGCACUUGACUGUCGUUACCAGUCAGUUAAUGCUAAAAGAAAUUAAAAUACUUCCAACAGGAAACAAUACUCAGAUGAUCUUUCUACGAACAUCAGUUUUAGCCAGGUCCUGGACUGCCUUUAAGAGCUUUAAAGUCACUUGAGGGGAGCUUAAUCCUCCUGUGGAGUAUUGUAACUUUUUUUUUUUUUUUUAAGGUGUCUCAGAGCUUGUUAGUGCACUCUCCUAUUCACCAUGUAGUAGUUGUUCUUUUUUUUUAGUGUGGGUCAGUCCUAAGGUUUUCAGGAACUUUUAUCUGUGAAUCUGACAGUUCCCAUCUGGAAAAAAAAUAUCCUUUCCCCCCACUUAAUCCGUCUUCAGUCUGGAUCUUUGUUGGAAUUAAUGUGGCCAAGUGCAGUUCUCCCCAGGUGACAGGCACAGCUGAAGUAAACACAAACCCCAACUCAGGUUGCAAUCCCCAGAAGAUGUUUGUAGCUACAGUCACCCGAGGCGCAGCGCAGAGGAUUAGAUGUGAAACACUUUUAACUGCGUCGACAGCCAAACUCUGUGCUUGGUGUAAUAUUUGUUUGCAGUCGGCAACUGCUGGUGGGUGCUGAACAGCCUGUUCUUAGUCUUUUGAAAAGAGAUUUAAGGAAUAAACUUGCAACUAAACCCUCUUACUAUUUAUUCUCCCUUCCGUACUUAACUCUUAAACUUUGAGGGGCACAGCAGAGUGGUUAAUCCCUGAGCUAGCACCAGUUACCAUCCAGGAUUAC